GGGCAUUUGGUCUAGUGGUUUGAUCCUCGCCUUUUGUGCGAGAGGUGUACCGUGUUCGAUCCCCAUAAUGCUCC